GGGUUGUGAGGUUAAGCGACUAAGCGUACACGGUGGAUGCCCUGGCAGUCAGAGGCGAUGAAGGACGUGCUAAUCUGCGAUAAGCGUCGGUAAGGUGAUAUGAACCGUUAUAACCGGCGAUUUCCGAAUGGGGAAACCCAGUGUGAUUCGUCACACUAUCAUUAACUGAAUCCAUAGGUUAAUGAGGCGAACCGGGGGAACUGAAACAUCUAAGUACCCCGAGGAAAAGAAAUCAACCGAGAUUCCCCCAGUAGCGGCGAGCGAACGGGGAGCAGCCCAGAGCCUGAAUCAGUGUGUGUGUUAGUGGAAGCGUCUGGAAAGGCGCGCGAUACAGGGUGACAGCCCCGUACACAAAAAUGCACAUGCUGUGAGCUCGAUGAGUAGGGCGGGACACGUGGUAUCCUGUCUGAAUAUGGGGGGACCAUCCUCCAAGGCUAAAUACUCCUGACUGACCGAUAGUGAACCAGUACCGUGAGGGAAAGGCGAAAAGAACCCCGGCGAGGGGAGUGAAAAAGAACCUGAAACCGUGUACGUACAAGCAGUGGGAGCACAGAGCAAUCUGUGUGACUGCGUACCUUUUGUAUAAUGGGUCAGCGACUUAUAUUCUGUAGCAAGGUUAACCGAAUAGGGGAGCCGAAGGGAAACCGAGUCUUAACUGGGCGUUAAGUUGCAGGGUAUAGACCCGAAACCCGGUGAUCUAGCCAUGGGCAGGUUGAAGGUUGGGUAACACUAACUGGAGGACCGAACCGACUAAUGUUGAAAAAUUAGCGGAUGACUUGUGGCUGGGGGUGAAAGGCCAAUCAAACCGGGAGAUAGCUGGUUCUCCCCGAAAGCUAUUUAGGUAGCGCCUCGUGAAUUCAUCUCCGGGGGUAGAGCACUGUUUCGGCAAGGGGGUCAUCCCGACUUACCAACCCGAUGCAAACUGCGAAUACCGGAGAAUGUUAUCACGGGAGACACACGGCGGGUGCUAACGUCCGUCGUGAAGAGGGAAACAACCCAGACCGCCAGCUAAGGUCCCAAAGUCAUGGUUAAGUGGGAAACGAUGUGGGAAGGCCCAGACAGCCAGGAUGUUGGCUUAGAAGCAGCCAUCAUUUAAAGAAAGCGUAAUAGCUCACUGGUCGAGUCGGCCUGCGCGGAAGAUGUAACGGGGCUAAACCAUGCACCGAAGCUGCGGCAGCGACACUAUGUGUUGUUGGGUAGGGGAGCGUUCUGUAAGCCUGUGAAGGUGUACUGUGAGGUAUGCUGGAGGUAUCAGAAGUGCGAAUGCUGACAUAAGUAACGAUAAAGCGGGUGAAAAGCCCGCUCGCCGGAAGACCAAGGGUUCCUGUCCAACGUUAAUCGGGGCAGGGUGAGUCGACCCCUAAGGCGAGGCCGAAAGGCGUAGUCGAUGGGAAACAGGUUAAUAUUCCUGUACUUGGUGUUACUGCGAAGGGGGGACGGAGAAGGCUAUGUUGGCCGGGCGACGGUUGUCCCGGUUUAAGCGUGUAGGCUGGUUUUCCAGGCAAAUCCGGAAAAUCAAGGCUGAGGCGUGAUGACGAGGCACUACGGUGCUGAAGCAACAAAUGCCCUGCUUCCAGGAAAAGCCUCUAAGCAUCAGGUAACAUCAAAUCGUACCCCAAACCGACACAGGUGGUCAGGUAGAGAAUACCAAGGCGCUUGAGAGAACUCGGGUGAAGGAACUAGGCAAAAUGGUGCCGUAACUUCGGGAGAAGGCACGCUGAUAUGUAGGUGAAGUCCCUCGCGGAUGGAGCUGAAAUCAGUCGAAGAUACCAGCUGGCUGCAACUGUUUAUUAAAAACACAGCACUGUGCAAACACGAAAGUGGACGUAUACGGUGUGACGCCUGCCCGGUGCCGGAAGGUUAAUUGAUGGGGUCAGCGCAAGCGAAGCUCUUGAUCGAAGCCCCGGUAAACGGCGGCCGUAACUAUAACGGUCCUAAGGUAGCGAAAUUCCUUGUCGGGUAAGUUCCGACCUGCACGAAUGGCGUAAUGAUGGCCAGGCUGUCUCCACCCGAGACUCAGUGAAAUUGAACUCGCUGUGAAGAUGCAGUGUACCCGCGGCAAGACGGAAAGACCCCGUGAACCUUUACUAUAGCUUGACACUGAACAUUGAGCCUUGAUGUGUAGGAUAGGUGGGAGGCUUUGAAGUGUGGACGCCAGUCUGCAUGGAGCCGACCUUGAAAUACCACCCUUUAAUGUUUGAUGUUCUAACGUUGACCCGUAAUCCGGGUUGCGGACAGUGUCUGGUGGGUAGUUUGACUGGGGCGGUCUCCUCCUAAAGAGUAACGGAGGAGCACGAAGGUUGGCUAAUCCUGGUCGGACAUCAGGAGGUUAGUGCAAUGGCAUAAGCCAGCUUGACUGCGAGCGUGACGGCGCGAGCAGGUGCGAAAGCAGGUCAUAGUGAUCCGGUGGUUCUGAAUGGAAGGGCCAUCGCUCAACGGAUAAAAGGUACUCCGGGGAUAACAGGCUGAUACCGCCCAAGAGUUCAUAUCGACGGCGGUGUUUGGCACCUCGAUGUCGGCUCAUCACAUCCUGGGGCUGAAGUAGGUCCCAAGGGUAUGGCUGUUCGCCAUUUAAAGUGGUACGCGAGCUGGGUUUAGAACGUCGUGAGACAGUUCGGUCCCUAUCUGCCGUGGGCGCUGGAGAACUGAGGGGGGCUGCUCCUAGUACGAGAGGACCGGAGUGGACGCAUCACUGGUGUUCGGGUUGUCAUGCCAAUGGCACUGCCCGGUAGCUAAAUGCGGAAGAGAUAAGUGCUGAAAGCAUCUAAGCACGAAACUUGCCCCGAGAUGAGUUCUCCCUGACUCCUUGAGAGUCCUGAAGGAACGUUGAAGACGACGACGUUGAUAGGCCGGGUGUGUAAGCGCAGCGAUGCGUUGAGCUAACCGGUACUAAUGAACCGUGAGGCUUAACCUUACAACGCCGAAGGUGUUU
rnacentral:rRNA from 1 species